rnacentral:rRNA from 1 species
UCCAGACUCCUACGGGAGGCAGCAGUGGGGGAUAUUGCACAAUGGGGGGAACCCUGAUGCAGCGACGCCGCGUGGGUGAAGGAGCGUUUCGGCGCGUAAAGCCCUAUCGGCAGGGAAGAAGGAGGACGGUACCUGACUAAGAAGCCCCGGCUAACUACGUGCCAGCAGCCGCGGUAAUACGUAGGGGGCAAGCGUUAUCCGGAUUUACUGGGUGUAAAGGGAGCGUAGACGGCGAUGCAAGUCUGAAGUGAAAGGCGGGGGCCCAACCCCGGGACUGCUCUUGGAACUGCGCGGCUGGAGUGCAGGAGGGGCAGGCGGAAUUCCUGGUGUAGCGGUGAAAUGCGUAGAUAUCAGGAGGAACACCGGUGGCGAAGGCGGCCUGCUGGACUGCGACUGACGUUGAGGCCCGAAAGCGUGGGGAGCAAACAGGAUUAGAUACCCCAGUAAC